rnacentral:rRNA from 1 species
AUUGAACGCUGGCGGCAGGCCUAACACAUGCAAGUCGAGCGGAUGAAGGGAGCUUGCUCCUGGAUUCAGCGGCGGACGGGUGAGUAAUGCCUAGGAAUCUGCCUGGUAGUGGGGGAUAACGUCCGGACACGGGCGCUAAUACCGCAUACGUCCUGAGGGAGAAAGUGGGGGAUCUUCGGACCUCACGCUAUCAGAUGAGCCUAGGUCGGAUUAGCUAGUUGGUGGGGUAAAGGCCUACCAAGGCGACGAUCCGUAACUGGUCUGAGAGGAUGAUCAGUCACACUGGAACUGAGACACGGUCCAGACUCCUACGGGAGGCAGCAGUGGGGAAUAUUGGACAAUGGGCGAAAGCCUGAUCCAGCCAUGCCGCGUGUGUGAAGAAGGUCUUCGGAUUGUAAAGCACUUUAAGUUGGGAGGAAGGGCAGUAAGUUAAUACCUUGCUGUUUUGACGUUACCAACAGAAUAAGCACCGGCUAACUUCGUG